rnacentral:rRNA from 1 species
AGCGAACGCUGGCGGCAGGCUUAACACAUGCAAGUCGAGCGGGCGUAGCAAUACGUCAGCGGCAGACGGGUGAGUAACGCGUGGGAACAUACCUUUUGGUUCGGAACAACACAGGGAAACUUGUGCUAAUACCGGAUAAGCCCUUACGGGGAAAGAUUUAUCGCCGAAAGAUUGGCCCGCGUCUGAUUAGCUAGUUGGUGAGGUAAUGGCUCACCAAGGCGACGAUCAGUAGCNGGUCUGAGAGGAUGAUCAGCCACAUUGGGACUGAGACACGGCCCAAACUCCUACGGGAGGCAGCAGUGGGGAAUAUUGGACAAUGGGCGCAAGCCUGAUCCAGCCAUGCCGCGUGAGUGAUGAAGGCCCUAGGGUUGUAAAGCUCUUUUGUGCGGGAAGAUAAUGACGGUACCGCAAGAUAAGCCCCGGCUAACUUCGUGCCAGCAGCCGCAGUAAU